rnacentral:lncRNA from 1 species
GGAAAGGCAGUGCCGUGCGAAAGGAGAGUUGGCAGCGCACUGACUUGUCGGUCAAUGGACAUCGCUUCUCCAUACAUGCUGUUUCUUUCAGUCGGCGGCGAGAGUAUCUGUUUGCGUCCUUUGCUCGGUGCCUCGGUACGAAGGGUCUCUCGGUCUUCUUCUUUGCUUCGUUCUCCACGCGCCUUCGAUUCGUCAGGCUCUGGGUCGAGGCCAUGCGCGCGGCGCUGAGUUGGCGAGGCCGAGUUCGAGGUGGAAUCUUGCAAGAGAGCCUCUGUGUUGCCACUCUGCAACACAGCAGGGCCUCGCUGCGUUUCGCGGUCGCUGACCUCCGUCAAGGCCGACAUCGCUUCCGGAGCGUCUCGGUGAGUUGAAAAGAGAGGAGAGCCAUUUUCAUUGACGCCGCCAACUGUCUCUUGAGGUGUGCAUCGGAGCGCGUUUCUCUGCUUCGCUUCGGUGAAGGCGUUCGAGCUUGCAAGGCGUUCGUGACCAUGUGAGCAAUUGCUCGUUGGGAGGAUUACUGGAUGCGCGUCGCGCUCGAAGUUCCACUCACAGGGUGCUCCUUCGCUUCCUUCGACUCCGACGGCUUCCCCCGCUUCAUGUGGCGCGCUCAAAGAAUCUCCGCUACCUCUUCCAGGGUCGGCCUCCCAGUCUGUCUGGGCGACGGGGACAAGGCGGGGAAAGAAGAAAGAAGGCGUUUGCCCGGAGGCGCCGCGCGCCGCUUCCUGUUCUCUCCUAAGCGUCGCGACGGCGUUCGAGUGGGGAUUGAACGUCGGUCCCCGAAGACAUCGCGCAUCAGUGUUGAACUUGUAAUCCCCGGCGUCGGCAGAAUCGAAAGCGGAGUGGAACCUGCAAGUCUGUCUGUCUCCUCCAGCGAGGCAUUCGUCUCUCGCGAGUUCGACACACGGCGCCGGGUCCUUUGCACAUGGCGCGUCCUGCCAAGAGUGGACUGCAGGUGGGCGAAGUGGAAGCCGAGAAGAAGCAGCCGCAGCAGCCUCCUGCCAGUGGUCCGAAGAGUCGCGCGCAUCUGGAGUUCUUCCGCACAAGUCGCGAAGCUCCUCGAGGUUCCCUGUGUACGCAAGGCUCUCAAAGAAGCCGUUCGCAUUCGGCGUCCAGGAAGCGAUGCCGCUUCCGUAGGCUUCCGCGGGAUGAGGGAACGUGUGAGGCCACCCUGUCGGGUCGGCGCGCGAGUCGAAGGCCAGCGGGCAGGGCCGAUUCGCCUCGAAGGCCAGGCCUGAGUUGUAGCUGGCGUAAACGUUCGGAAGGCCAGACUCGCCAGGGCGGGAGGGAGGGACGAAGCGCGUGUUACUUUCGAGAGACUUCAAAUAUGGCAGGCCGGCGAACAUCGAGAAAUCAGUCGACCUUCCUCGACUUACCGACGCGCUUCGUCCACUAUCUGUUAAGUCGUGGUUGUGACUUCCGAGGCGAGACCCGUCAGACGACAGUGAAGCUGCAGGGGAAAACGAAGAACUCGCUGGCGUCGGUGCAACUUCGGAUGACGGGGAGUCCUCGCAGAUGCUCCUUGCUUCUUCGGUGUCGUUCCUGUGUCGACGCGGACGACUCUGCCGCAAGUCGGCUUCCCGGCUUGAGCUUUUUCGUCUCUUCUUGAACGAAACGGGGAACGGGGGGGAUGAAGGCCCCAGAGCGGGCGUUUGCGACAAACAGCUCUCUGCUCCAGAUUUCGCGUUCUUCUUGCCAAAACCUGUUUCGAGACCCUCUCUGCGUGCUACUCGAUUCCGACGCACGACCGUGUCUUUCGCGUCUCUCAGGUCGACUUCCGCGACGACGCAGCGCCCUUCGCUCUGCUGCCUCUUCUCCCUUUUCUGUCCGCGUUCCGCUUCACCCGCGUUUUCCCUGUCGCUCUUUCGGCAUCGCCUUCUCUCUCCCCAGCCAUGUCCCGGAUCUUCUCCCUCGUCUUCUCCCUCGUCUUCUCUGCCGUCUUCUCCCCCGUCUUCUGUCUUGUCUUCUCCGCCGUCUUCUGUCUUGUCUUCUCUGCCGUCCUCUGUCUUGUCUUCGGUUACGUCUUCUUGUUCCCUGAGUGUCGCGGUCUUCCGCCUCCGGCGAGGCCUGCCUUUCUCUGGGCUCUGUCCACGGGGAAAGGCGCCCGAGUCUCCGGCGUCGGUGCCCUCGAGUCUGCGCUGGGGGCCUUCUCGGACUUCGUCGGCGGCGCUCUUUACGCGCGUUCGCCAGAGGGACUUUUCAGUCUGGAUGGUUGAGGCGGCUUCCAAGAGCGUGGGAUCGUCUCCGCACUGCUGGCCUCUGCAGAUUUUUCUCCACGGACUGCCGCAAAUGAAGGCCAGGAGCACCAUGGCGUCGUCGCAAGUCCCGCUGUCCAGCGCCUUCAGGGUGUAGAGUGGCUCGUUCUCGGAACAUGUGGGGUGGCUGAACUCGAAGGCGCGGUCGUCCCCCGGUCGCUGCGGAACUUGCCUGGAGUUGAAGGCCUCUGUGGCGCCUUGGUCGUAGUCCUCAGGCUCCUGCGUUCGCCCUUGCUUAUUCCAGCAGAACAUCAUGACGGCGGCGUGGUACCGGGCCUCCAAAAAACCGAGCUCGGCGACUGCGAACUUCUUCCGCUGCACGAUUUUCCCCAUCGGUUUCCGAUGGUUCGCCACCCAGCAGCGACUCGCGCGGUGGUAUGUGACUCCGACCACGAACGGCAGCGCGUCGGCUGCCUGCUGUAACUCAUCGUCCGUUGCCCGCUCCACAUUUGCCAGGGCCUCGCGUCUCUCUGAGUUGUCCAGUUCCGGAUUCAAAAGAGCCUCGCGGCGAUGUCUGAUGGCUUGCUCGCGCGCGCCGAAAAACCCAAACUUCUGGAAGGAAAAAAUCCGCGUUAUUCGACGCUUGCCGACCAGCCAAGACGCUACCCACGUCUUCCGCAGCCUGUCCAUGUGCACCCCCUUCACAGGCUCCAGACGCGAAGCGAGAAGCUCGAGCAAAAAGUCUUUGUGGCCGCGGUCGGUCUGAGCCGGCAGCGAUCCCGGCGCCCGCCGCUUCCUCCCCGACGCCUUCGCCGCGGCCGGAACUUCGAACGGCAGAGACGCGGGAGAGAAAGUCCACGCGGCCCCCCGGGAGCGGUUCGAGUUGGGCGACUGCGCGUGAGGAGAUCGAGUCCGUCCUCGCAGUCGCCGCGACUCCAGCGAAGGACUCCAUGCAGAACCUUCCGCGUCUCCGCUGCCUGGAACUUCCUCCAAGUGUGCUCCCGUCUGAAGGCUUCCCCCUGGGUACAGCGCCGGAGUCCCCAGAGAGAAGAAGGAGUAGGGAAACGAGUCCGACGAACCUGUCUUCUCCGACUCUGAGAAGUGAACUUGGGGAUCUGCUGAAUACAGGCUGUUUUCCUCGCUCCUCUGGGGAGUCUCAUACAUGCCCGAGCCGCCGUAGAACGGGCAGUAGGCAGCGCCGUUGUACGCUGUGUUGUCGCCUACGAGACGGUCCUUGGAGGCUGCAGUGUAGGAAACGCUAUUGUAGGAGGGAGUCGAAUACGGGAUGUUCUCGUAGGGUGCAGGGUACGGAGACUGGAGCUCUUGUCGACGGCCCUCUUCGACGCUGUAAGGCUGAGGGAGUCCCGAAACGCCCAGCUCUCCGGACUCGUUCAGCUGCUGCCAAAGUUGCGUCUCGUACUCGUUGUCCCUGUUGUCGCCUUCGCACGAAAAGGCCCCGAGAAGGCUGUAAGAGGCGGCGAGGAAGUUCGGCGUUCCGCGGUUCUCGGCAACCUCGACCUGGGGUCGAAGGACUUCAUCGGAGCCGCCAAAGUUCCCCUCAUACUGCAGCGGUGACUGGUCGCGAGUGGAGGCGCCCUGACAUGGCAGGCGGAGUCUCGGCGAGUCCUCGGGGAGGUUCUGGACAGCCGCCGGCAAGGGGACCGACGCGGGGUCGGACGCGAAGUCCGACGGGAUUCGCGGCAGACUGGGGAGAGCAGGCAGACUCCAGCAAUCCAGAGGCGAAGACCCGCGAAGCAGGGCAGCCGGCGGGGGACACCGGAGUACAGAUGGCGGCCCUGGACAGGAUUGGGAGAGGAAACGCGCUUGGGGAAGUAAGAUGUCAGGAUAUGACGCGGAGACACAGCCGAUGCCGGGAAACACAGGCGGCGGAGGCAGAGGCGGAAAACAGGCCGAGUAGAAGUUCGCAAAAUGCACAGGUUGCAUCGGGGGCAAAGGCGGCUGAUAAGGCGAGUCUUGACUUAACGGAGCCUGCAAACCAUACCGGCUUCCGUCCUCGCCAGUGAGGCAUGUGUGCCCUUCGACGUUUGUGGUGCCCCGCCAGCCUCCCGUACUCUCGCAGGUAUCCCCGUUUCCUGGCGUUCCCCAGGCAUCCCCGUUUCCUGACGUUCCCCAAGAGUUUCCGUUUCCCCCGAAAGGAAGCCCACCACCGUGGUCCGGGACACUGGACGAAGCGCGUCCGUUGAGAUGUUGAGGCCCAAAGUCGGAGGUCUCCCAGUGGCCAACUGCAGCGUCAGAAACCGGCGCGGGUGUAGUCCACUCUUGCUGUGCGUCAGCAGUGUUUAGGGUCCCUGUGGAGAUGUUGUCCGGCGCAGUGAAGCCUUGACAACUUGUGGAGUUCGUGCGAUGCACACAGUAGUCAUCAGGUCCGUUGUUCCCGUAAGUGCCACCGUAGAGGAACGCUUGAGGCGGCUGAGUUAGGUCGAAGAUCGACGAAGCCGUACCAAAGCUGUUGUAGAACGCACCCGGAUAACCGUAGAGGGAAGCAUGCGCAUGCAUAGCGGGGUCACAGGAGGCGAAGACCGCUCCGGUAUGACUUUCAAGAUCCGCGACAUGCUGGCUGUGCGGCUGCCCACUUGUAGACGUGGGCAACAGCUCUCCGGCCAGCUGUCCGCAGAAACCUCCCUCGCUUCCGUGUUCUGUUCUGCGAGAUGAAAAACGUUCGACGCGAGGGAACUGUAGGCCCUGUGCGUCUCCCUGAGAGGCCUCACUGUUACCUCCCCAGGCCUCGAAACCUCCAAAAUGCACAGGUCGCAUCGAGGGCAAAGGCGGCUGGAAAGGCGAGUCUUGACUUAACGGACCCUGCAGCCCAUACCGGCUUCCGUCCUCGCCAGUGAGGCAUGUGUGCGCUUCGACGUUUGUGGCACCCCGCCAGCCUCCCGUACUCUCGCAGGUAUCCCCGUUUCCUGGCGUUCCCCAGGUGCACGCAGCUUCUGAGUCCGCCUGUACAUCAGGUGGAGAAGGACAUGCGACUGCCGAUGAAGUGAAGGAUCCAGAACGAAGGGGGAAUUGGCUGUCGUCUUCAUGGCCCUUCGUAACGUUGUCGGCAGCUGCGUCUGCUUGCCGAUACAGGAGAUUCGGAGCAAGGCGAGCUGCACUGGUUUCCUUCUGGGUACAGGCCCGAUCUUCUUGCGACGAGGGAGCAGCCCACUCUGUGUCGGGGGUGAGCAUUGGAUUCGGCUUGCGGAGCCAAGGACCUGAGGCAGGAAGAACGCCUGCUUCACUCAGUCCGUAGUCGCAGAGCCGUGGCGCAUCUGCGCCAGCCACAGGAGCCGAUUCAGACACAGCAGCGGUGCCUCCGGGGAAUUCAGGCUCUACAAGCUUGUCGUUCCCUCGAGGUUGCUCUGGAUCGAUCUGAAGAUCUAGAGGCUUCUUGGCGACUCCAGGAGACGACGCCAGACAUGCCACAGGCCAAGCCACAGGCGAAGAGAGAUCCGCGUGCUCGCGCGUGUCUCCAACUGUCUCUUCGCUGGCGGCAGGGCUCACGCAUGCGGCGACUUCCGACCUGCGCCCAACGGCUUGUGGUGCGUCCAGAGACGAAACUCCUGCACAGGAAAGUGGGGAAGUCGAGGCGCGACAAAGAUCAGGUGAACAGGCAGAAGGCAUCGUCGGCGGAGAUGCCGCCAGAACAACCGGCACAGUAAACGGCAGCGGCGAAGCGGUUCGCGACGCACCGGAAGCCGCCGGUGCAACAGUGGCUUCAGCGGGACCUGGGAAACCACAACGCGAGGCUGCACGCAUCGACAGAGCGUUGUCAAGUGCAUGCCCUAAGUCCGUUCGUUUGGAGGUGAAAGGCGUUGGUGAAUGCGCCAUCGGCAGCCCAUUGUUUGGGUCACUCCGCUUACCGAAGCUUCUCCGUUCCGCCGACUCGGACGGCGACCUCUGGACGGAUGUGUCAGUUGAGUGGGUCGAAAGAACCUUCUUCUCGUCGGCUUCGAUGGUCUCUCUGCUCGUGUCGCCUUUUCGACUUUGCCCUGCCGCCUCCAAACGCUGGAGAAAGGUUCUGCUUUCCGACAGGUCUGCAUGCGACUCUUCGGGGUCCCUCCGCGCCAGGCAAGAAGGUAGACGCGGCGUCUUGGGGCUUCUGAAACUCGAGAGGGAAGCGGUGGAGAGGCGAUCGUAUUCUUGGCGCCUUCGUUUCGUAUCCACAUCUAGCGGGAGGUUUCCCAGAGACGAGAUGCAGGCUGAGGCGGACGCGUCUUCCUCCCGCAGUCUUUUCCUUGAUGUCGAAAGGUGGAGCAGCGGCGGAAGGUGAAAGCGCUGCCGGAAGCAGAGGACGUCGUCUUGCUCGGCUGAACAAGACGAGGAACCUGUUGGGGAGGUCGAGUCUGAAGACGCACCGGGCGGACUGCACAUUUCGCGUCUCGGCUGCUGUUCAGAUGCACUCCGAGAGGCAGGAGAAAUAGGACUUGACGAUGUGCUUGCGUCGGCCGACACUGCGUGUACCUCUGGAGACGGACCUCGAGCGCGGUGUGAAGUGAACGCUUGAGAUGAAGGUAGACAGGAAGAAAAGCAACCUUUCGAGGGAAACGGCGGUGACAAGAGGGUAGGUUGAGUCCUUAGAGGCGAAAAACUAGGUAGGCGGUCUUGACCUUUUUGAGGAGACAGACACCCGUGAGGACUUCCCCGCAAGCAGAGGGGCUGUCGGGAGCCGCGAGAUGUUCCGACGGAAGCGCGCGUUUCCAUUUCUCGACAUGAAUGAGGCCUCGCAAACAGCGGCGACUUUGGGUGCGCAUUUCCCGGAGGCGACGCGAAACGAGACGGAGCGUAGUCGCUCAUGUUGACGUACGUUGCGUGUCGAAGAACGAACGAGUUCUUUCGACGAUGCGAGGGUGGUGGUGGAACGUGGACAAAAACGUCGAGCGCGGGUUGUCACAAGGGAUAGGCGGAUUUCGUUUGUUUCAGUUUUUCCUGGCUUUUGCUUUUUGACGCGACACGCAAAGACGCAAACAACUACGUGCGAGUAGCCAGGAAGUGCUCAGCACGAUACCUGUCUCUAGGAGUGUACACGUCAAGUCGGUAAAAGUGACAAGGGAAAAAGCAAACAAUCAAGUACAACGUCAAGACCACGCCCACGGCGUGGUCGUCUAUAUUGUCGGGUGCAAGACAAGGCAUUAAAAGAGAUGCGUCCUGCUACGGACUUUAGUUUUGCAUGAAGAAAGUGGAAAAAAUCAACGCCCGUUCAACGGGGAUGCAGCCAGAAGCGUCAUGUUGCAAAGUUUCGAGAGUCCACGUACAAGGAAAAACUCCAGAGAAGGCGCCGAGAGCUGAAUCAGGGUAGUGCUCAACCGGCUGAGUGGGAAGAACUCACGAGUUCUAGGUAGGUGACUUUGACCACAGAGAUAAGCGAUGAACUGACUACAAAGGUCUAGCCCUUCAAGGUGACCUUUGGCAAAAUACAAAUGACGGAGUCGAGAACUAUUUCAGAAAGGAAGACGUGCUUUCUGGAGCUUGCGCAACCCGCGAGCCAAGUUGCAAAAAGUCCAAGAAACGCAACGCGGGUAGUUGCAGGGCUGAAACGCUGCAAGUGCCUGCAAAAGAGGAGUCCGAAAAUUCAGAUAUCCGUGAGGGCCUGUUGUCAAGCGAACGAGAAGCCAACAGUGAGUUGCGCAAAAAGCCGAUCUGGGUUUUGCGUCUGUUUCUGCACAUCUGGAAAAAACUCGGCCGAUUCUAG